UCUUAGUGGCGGACGGGUGAGUAACGCGUGGGUAACCUGCCUUAUACAGGGGGAUAACACUUAGAAAUAGGUGCUAAUACCGCAUAAGCGCACGGGGCUGCAUGGCCCAGUGUGAAAAACUCCGGUGGUAUAAGAUGGACCCGCGUCUGAUUAUCUUGUUGGCGGGGUAACGGCCCACCAAGGCGACGAUCAGUAGCCGGCCUGAGAGGGUGGACGGCCACAUUGGGACUGAGACACGGCCCAAACUCCUACGGGAGGCAGCAG
rnacentral:rRNA from 1 species